UAAAUAACAGCCACUUGUCUCUCAUCUGGUCUGAUCAGCACUACUCAAACUGCCAAGAGUAAGAGAAAAAAUUCCAGUGAGGAAUCACCUGAAAUCAGGAAGUCACCAUGGCAAGAAUUAGGGGAAAUAUAAGAAAGCUAAACAAGGCAAACAAGAUAUGUGCUGCUGCCCUGAUAUGUUAAUCUGAAGACAGAGAAGAGAAAAAAAAUCAGAUGCAAGACCUGAGAAACUGAAUUCAAGGUCAAUGUGAGUAAAAAUUAUUCUCUUGAAAGAUUACACAGAAAAUUUUUUAAUAUAGUUAAGA
rnacentral:lncRNA from 12 species